CCUAGGGGGGGCAGCAGGCGCGAAAACUUUGCAAUGCGGGAAACCGUGACAAGGGAACUCUGAGUGCCCGUAAAAUCGGGCUGUCCAUCGGUUUAAAUAACCGGUGAAGAAAGGGCCGGGCAAGACCGGUGCCAGCCGCCGCGGUAACACCAGCGCCACGAGUGGCAAUCGCGUUUAUUGGGCCUAAAGCGUCCGUAGCAGGUUUUGUAAAUUUCUUGUGAAACUGCCAAGCUUAACUUGGCAAUGUGCAGGAAACACUGCAAGACUAGAGACCGGGAAGGGUCGGAAGUAUUCCUGAGGGAGCGGUAAAAUGCUAUAAUCUCAGGAGGACUACCGGUGGCGAAGGCGUCCGACUAGAACGGAUCUGACUGUGAGGGACGAAAGCUAGGGGAGCAAACCGGAUUAGAUACCCGAGUAGUCCUAGCUGUAAACGCUGUGAGCUAGGUGUCGCGUAUUCUACGGGAAUGCGCGGUGUCGUAAGGAAGCUACUAAGCUCACCGCCUGGGAAGUACGGUCGCAAGACUGAAACUUUAAGGAAUUGGCGGGGGCGCACCACAAGGGGUGCGGCGUGCGGUUUAAUUGGAUUCAACGCCGGAAAUCUUACCGGGACCGACAGCAAUAUGAAAGCCAGGCUGAAGACUUUGCCGGAUUAGCUGAGCGGCGGUGCAUGGCC
rnacentral:rRNA from 1 species